GACGAACGCUGGCGGCGUGCUUAACACAUGCAUGUCGAACGGUGAAGCGCCUUCCUUUUUGGUGGGUGUGGAUGAGUGGCGAACGGGUGAGUAACACGUGAGUAACCUGCCCCCUUCUUCUGGAUAACCGCAUGAAAGUGUGGCUAAUACGGGAUAUUCUGGGUCUGUCGCAUGAUGGGUCUGGGAAAGAUAUUGUUUCGGUGGGGGAUGGGCUCGCGGCCUAUCAGCUUGUUGGUGGGGUGAUGGCCUACCAAGGCGGUGACGGGUAGCCGGCCUGAGAGGGUGGACGGUCACACUGGGACUGAGACACGGCCCAGACUCCUACGGGAGGCAGCAGUGGGGAAUAUUGCACAAUGGGCGCAAGCCUGAUGCAGCGACGCCGCGUGAGGGAUGGAGGCCUUCGGGUUGUGAACCUCUUUCGCCAGUGAAGCAGGCCUGCCUCGUUUGUGGGUGGGUUGACGGUAGCUGGAUAAGAAGCGCCGGCUAACUACGUG
rnacentral:rRNA from 1 species